AUUGAACGCUGGCGGCAGGCCUAACACAUGCAAGUCGAGCGGAUGAAGGGAGCUUGCUCCUGGAUUCAGCGGCGGACGGGUGAGUAAUGCCUAGGAAUCUGCCUGGUAGUGGGGGAUAACGUCCGGAAACGGGCGCUAAUACCGCAUACGUCCUGAGGGAGAAAGUGGGGGAUCUUCGGACCUCACGCUAUCAGAUGAGCCUAGGUCGGAUUAGCUAGUUGGUGGGGUAAAGGCCUACCAAGGCGACGAUCCGUAACUGGUCUGAGAGGAUGAUCAGUCACACUGGAACUGAGACACGGUACAGACUCCUACGGGAGGCAGCAGUGGGGAAUAUUGGACAGUGGGCGAAAGCCUGAUCCAGCCAUGCCGCGUGUGUGAAGAAGGUCUUCGGAGUGUAAAGCACGUUAAGUUGGGAGGAAGGGCAGUAAGUUAAUACCUUGCUGUUUUGACGUUACCAACAGAAUAAGCACCGGCUAACUUCGUG
rnacentral:rRNA from 1 species